rnacentral:misc_RNA from 1 species
AACGGUCUAUACCUGCGGUACCUGCGGAGGGAUCAUUAAAAAGGUUUGGUCGGAAUCUUUGGCAAUUUUCCCAUUGAUUUCGACUUCCUGAUCAUCCCUUAUGUGCACUUUUGAAAUAAUGCUUUGGUAGGUCGAAAGAUCUACCAAAAGUUUUAUCAAAAUAGCCUUAUUUUUUGUCUGAAAUAAAAAUAUUUUAAUUUUUAAAAUACAACUUUUAACAAUGGAUCUCUAGAUCGGAAG